GGGGUAUUAGCUCAGUUGGUUAGAGCGUCACGUUGACAUCGUGAAGGUCAGCUGUUCAAGUCAG
rnacentral:tRNA from 1 species